CUUAUUUCUUCCCCAACAAAUGCUCUCCAUCAGCAUUUACAGCGCACUGCCAAAAGAUAUGGAAUGAAGAAAGCAAGCAAACACAUCAAAGAGAGCAGUGUCUACUUCUUAAAAUCCUCGUUAACAUUUCACAACAUACAGUGCAGAGGAAGAAAUGCAUAAAGUCAGCCGGCUUCAAAUACGCAAAACUAUUUUUUGGGAUUUGCUUUCUAAGCUGACAGAGUACUGGCACAGCAUAUAAUGGAAUGCCCAAACGCAUUCAGUACCUUAACGAAGGAUUCAGUGCUCCAGGUUUGACACGACAGGAUUCCAUGCUGCUUUCAGUGAAAGAGACAAACCUCCCCCCAUACAUCUCCACUGCCACCACCACUCAAUAUAAUUUCCCAAACACUUUCAAAAUAAAUAGAACUCUUUUGUCAGAGUGAAAUAAAUACAGCAGGAUUAGGUUUGCACUGUUUACUGGUUCCUUGUCUUUCCUUUCAUUUUGCCUCUGCCUGAGGCAGUUUUGGAAGGCUCUGCCACCUCCUCCAUUCUGCUCUAAGUGUGUAAGUAAGAGACCAACGGUUUCUGUCCCACAGUUGCAUUCUACACUCACACAGUACAUUCCUCUCAGCAGCACUGUCCAUCUGAAACUCUCAAGUGCAGGGAAGCAAUCUGUAGGGUUUGAUGACGUUCUGCAUUUUGGUUAUUUUUAAGGCCAUCUUCACUGCUAGAUCAGCUGGCACUAGCUGAGUCUGUCUACCAAAGCAGCUAUCAGCCCUGUCCAGGCUCGUAGGUUAGGGUAGCCAAGCAGGGGCUGUGCAAAGAGGUAAGCCAAGAAUUUGUGAAGUAUUCUCUCUUAAAUGAGGUGGCCUGGGUAUCUCAGCACUUCUCUGGUGCCAGGCAUGUGAGUGCUCCCCCUGAAGUCACAGAGGGCUGUGGGCUCCAACGUCAGACAGAGGCACUCCGCAGCUCACUGCCACCUCCUCCAGCCCUGUGCACGGAUCUAAGAGCUGCUGUGUCACGGAGACUGCUGCCGGGCAGGUUGUGCGCUGGCAGCCAGGCACAGCACAGCAGGAAGCAGUCCUGCAGCCUGGGAAGGCUCCCACUGCCAGCCAGAACCGCUGCUCCCAGCUGCCCACAGACAUCCUCUGCAGGGACUGCAAGCGAGCACCAAGUCCUAGAAACAGGCUGGUACCUGGUGAUACUGCCAGCACAACCACUCCUCUGCUGCUGCGGAGAACGAGGGGCUCACUGAGUCACAGAUCCUCAGUCAACCUGCCCAGCCAAAGCUAUCUACUGUCUUAGAAGUAUACCAGUGCCCACCUGUAAUUGUGAACUGAGUACCUGCUACACAGCAGAAACUCCUGCCCCUCGGAUGUCCUCAUGGAAAAAACAUCAAUUACAUCUCUCACACAGAGCUUGUCAAUUCUGACUCCUUACAGCCCAGUGCUGUUGUAAAAUAAAAAAUGACGCAGGUGGAAAGCUUUGCAGGGCAAAGGCACAGCUGUAUUUCAUACCUGACAGAACUCAUUCUGUGCAGUGCAGACCUGAAAGCAAAUUUUGGGGGUGGGAUGAGGAGAAGACGCUCAAAUCCCUUCACACUUGCCUAGCUCAGUUACAAAGUAAUUAGCUUCAUAGUGAGAGUACAAGGCAAUGCACCACAUCCUGAAUUAUUCAGGAAGUCAGACUGAAGGACUACUGCAAAGCCUUCUUGCUUUAAGUUCUGUCUCCCUCUUCCCCACACU